GAUUUCUGGUCGGGCGUGCCCAGUCCAGCGGGGUAACCUGUUGAGUGCUGGUGUGCGCCUACCAUCUUUCUAGUGAAUGGCACUACCCUUUACUGGGCCGGUGUCACCAGCUAGAUCUUUUACUUUGAAAAAAUUAGAGUGUUUAAAGCAGGCUUGUGCUAUGAAUAUAUUAGCAUGGAAUAAUAAUUUAGGACUUUGUUUCUAUUUUAUUGGUUUCUAGGAAUGAAGUAAUGAUUGAUAGGGAUAGUUGGGGGUGCUAGUAUUCAGCGGCCAGAGGUGAAAUUCUUGGAUUCGCUGAAGACUAACUUAUGCGAAAGCAUU
rnacentral:rRNA from 1 species